AGUGUUGUAGGCGGUGCUGAGUGGGCAUGGCAGGGGCGGGGUUCAUACCCUUUGACCAUGGGCCGGGCCCCACAGGCACUGGCAGGUCAGUAGCCGCCACCAUCAAACCUGCACGCUGGACUACAGCUACCUGCUGGGGCUGCUGGAGGACAUGCAGGCACACUGGGAGGAGGCGCCCUCACUGCCCCAGGAGCAGGAGGAGAGCCUGGCUGAUAGCCUUUCCGCCUUCUCUGAGUUCGGGCUGCAGCUGCUGCGCCAGCUCCGAGACUACUUCCCCGCCACCAACAGCACCGCUGUCUACCGCCUGGAGCUGCUGCUGAAGUAGGUGCAGCGCCGCGUGUCAGCGUGGGUGGGGGCGGCUGGUAGGGCAGGCCCCACGUCAGCGUGCUACCUCCACCCAGGUGUCUGGGCAAGCUGCAGCUUUUCCAGCCCUCCUUUGAGAUCUGCCCCUUCGAGACGGAGCUGAACAUGGACAUUGCUGCGGCCCUGAAGAGAGGCAACCGUGAGUGGUACGACAGCAUCUUGAAUGCCAAGAGUCCCCGAGAGCAGGUGCGGUUGUGGGGGACCCUGGCCAUGAGGGAUACGGGCAGCCGAGAGGUGGGUACGAGUUAGGCUUCCUUGCAGCCAGGACCACAGCGCCUGCCUGGGCUGGUUGUGCUGGCUGACGCCAUCUAUGACGACCUUCAGUCCUGCUACAGUGUCUACGCCAGCCUCUUCCACAGCAUCCUCAAUGUGGACGUCUUCACUCUGACCUUCCGGCAGCUGGAGCGUCUGGUGGCUGAGGAGGCGUGGGUGCUGACGGAGGAGCUGAGCCCCAAGAUGACCCUGGAGGUGGCCUCAGGGCUCUGUGAGCUCUACCUGACCCUGGCUGACCUCCAG
rnacentral:sRNA from 1 species